ensembl:misc_RNA
CUCACAGACCAGGAGAAUGAUGGUCUCUGUUUAUCCACAGACCAGGUACAGCCAAAGCAGCAGCAGCAGUCAGCAGAAGCUUCCUCCACACUUCCUGCCAAUGCACCUCAACCUUGACCUGAAGAGAGGUUCUCUAAGGAUUUGAUUGGAAUUUUAUGCCCGUUCAGGCCUUGGCAUCU